ACGCACGCUGGCGGCGUGCUUAACACAUGCACGUCGCACGGAAAGGCCCUGCUUUUGUGGGGUGCUCGUGUGGCGAACGGGUGAGUAACACGUGAGUAACCUGCCCUUGACUUUGGGAUAACUUCAGGAAACUGGGGCUAAUACCGGAUAGGAGCUCCUGCUGCAUGGUGGGGGUUGGAAAGUUUCGGCGGUUGGGGAUGGACUCGCGGCUUAUCAGCUUGUUGGUGGGGUAGUGGCUUACCAAGGCUUUGACGGGUAGCCGGCCUGAGAGGGUGACCGGCCACAUUGGGACUGAGAUACGGCCCAGACUCCUACGGGAGGCAGCAGUGGGGAAUAUUGCACAAUGGGCGGAAGCCUGAUGCAGCAACGCCGCGUGCGGGAUGACGGCCUUCGGGUUGUAAACCGCUUUCGCCUGUGACGAAGCGUGAGUGACGGUAAUGGGUAAAGAAGCACCGGCUAACUACGUG
rnacentral:rRNA from 1 species